rnacentral:rRNA from 1 species
UACAGGGGGUGCAAACGUUGCUCGGAAUUAUUGGGCGUAAAGCGCACGUAGGCGGAUGUGUCAGUCAGGGGUGAAAUCCCGGAGCUCAACUUCGGAACUGCCCUUGAUACAGCGCGUCUUGAGUCCGGAAGAGGUGGGUGGAAUUCCUAAUGUAGAGGUGAAAUUCGUAGAUAUUAGGAAGAACACCGGUGGCGAAGGCGGCCCACUGGUCCGGUACUGACGCUGAGGUGCGAAAGCGUGGGGAGCAAACAGG